rnacentral:rRNA from 1 species
CUUGGUCAUUUAGAGGAAGUAAAAGUCGUAACAAGGUUUCCGUAGGUGAACCUGCGGAAGGAUCAUUAAAAAAGAUACGAGGUUGUCCCUCGGCAUGAGUACGCCCCCCACUGGCCCCGGCUUCAUGCUGGCCGACUGUGGGGGAUACACAUCCACCCUGUGUGAAACACCUGUUGCUUUGGCAGCUCUUCUCGCGAAGGUCAGUCUGUCAAAAGCUCAAAAGAAACUCUUUGUUUAUAAACAUGGUCGUAAAAGAAAUGAAAAUUCUUUAAAACUUUCAACAACGGAUCUCUUGGUUCUCGCAUCGAUGAAGAACGCAGCGAAACGCGAUAGGUAAUGUGAAUUGCAGAAUUCAGUGAAUCAUCGAAUCUUUGAACGCACAUUGCGCCUUUUGGUAUUCCGAGAGGCAUGUCUGUUUGAGCGUCAUUACAAACCCUCAAGCUUAGCUUGGUGUUGAGCCCCUCUUUCCGGCUCUAAUGUGGUACGCUUGCGGGCUCUCCCAUGAUUACAACGUAGUAAAACUUCUUUCGUUGUGUUGGAAGGGGAGCCUCGCCUGAAAUCAAAUCUCAGAGUUUGACCUCAGAUCAGACAAGGAUACCCGCUGAACUUAAGCAUAUCAAUAAGCGGAGGAAAAGAAACCAACAGGGAUUGCCUUAGUAACGGCGAGUGAAGCGGCAACAGCUCAAAUUUGAAAUCUGAUGUCUUUUGACGUUCGAGUUGUAAUUUGAAGAGGAAUCUUCGGUUUGGACCACGGCCCAUGUCCCUUGGAACAGGGCGUCGUAGAGGGUGAGAAUCCCGUCGUCGGCUGAUGGUCUCUUUCCAUGUGAAGUUCCUUCGAAGAGUCGAGUUGUUUGGGAAUGCAGCUCUAAACGGGAGGUAAAUUUCUUCUAAAGCUAAAUAUUGGCGAGAGACCGAUAGCGCACAAGUAGAGUGAUCGAAAGAUGAAAAGCACUUUGAAAAGAGAGUUAAACAGUACGUGAAAUUGUUGAAAGGGAAGCGCUUGCAAUCAGACUCGUCUCCGGUGGAUCAACGUUCCUUCUGGUUCGUGCACUCCGCCUCUGACGGGCCAGCAUCGGUUGCGGCGGCGGGACAAAGACCUUGGGAAUGUGGCUCUCUUCGGGGAGUGUUAUAGCCCUCGGUGCAAUGCCGCCUGCCGCGAUCGAGGACCGCGCUUCGGCUAGGAUGCUGGCGUAAUGGUUGUAAGCGACCCGUCUUGAAACACGGACCAAGGAGUCUAACAUCUAUGCGAGUGUUUGGGUGUCAAACCCAUACGCGUAAUGAAAGUGAACGGAGGUGGGAGCCGCAAGGUGCACCAUCGACCGAUCCUGAUGUUCUCGGAUGGAUUUGAGUAGGAGCAUAGCUGUUGGGACCCGAAAGAUGGUGAACUAUGCCUGAAUAGGGUGAAGCCAGAGGAAACUCUGGUGGAGGCUCGCAGCGGUUCUGACGUGCAAAUCGAUCGUCAAAUUUGGGUAUAGGGGCGAAAGACUAAUCGAACCAUCUAGUAGCUGGUUCCUGCCGAAGUUUCCCUCAGGAUAGCAGUGACGUUUUCAGUUUUAUGAGGUAAAGCGAAUGAUUAGAAGCCUUGGGGUUGAAACAACCUUAACUUAUUCUCAAACUUUAAAUAUGUAAGAAGUCCUUGUUACUUAAUUGAACGUGGACAUUUGAAUGUACCGUCACUAGUGGGCCAUUUUUGGUAAGCAGAACUGGCGAUGCGGGAUGAACCGAACGCGAGGUUAAGGUGCCGGAAUGCACGCUCAUCAGACACCACAAAAGGUGUUGAUUCAUCUAGACAGCAGGACGGUGGCCAUGGAAGUCGGAAUCCGCUAAGGAGUGUGUAACAACUCACCUGCCGAAUGAAUCAGCCCUGAAAAUGGAUGGCGCUUAAGCGUGCUACCCAUACCUCGCCGCCGCGGUAGAAACUACACCGCGGCGAGUAGGCAGGCGUAGGGGUCCGUGACGAAGCCUUGGGAGCGAUCCUGGGUAGAACGGCCUCUAGUGCAGAUCUUGGUGGUAGUAGCAA